rnacentral:lncRNA from 1 species
AAAAUAUAAUAAUAAAUUUUGGCUAAAAUCAUUGGUUGCUAUUAGGGAUGCAAACGGGGCGGAUCCGGGGGCGGGAGAGUUCUCCCACCUCCCGCUCCAUUUCUUAUCGGGACGGGGCGGAUUCGGGGCGGGUUACUUUUCAUUUUAUUUUUGGCUCCCACUUACCGCUUCAUUCGGGGCGGAUCGAGACGGGAGCCGGAUUUUUGACGGAUCGGGACGGAUUGAAGGAAGAAAUGAGUCUCCCACCUCCCGCUCCAUUUACUUGACGGAUCCGGACGGAUUCGGAGCGGGUUAUAUUUUUUUAUAUUUUUUGUUCCCACUUACCACCCCAUUCGGGACGGAUCGGGGCGGAGCUCCACCAACCCGGAUCCAUUUACAUCCCUAGUUGCUAUUAAUUGAUUGAUUAAAAAGGAGAGUGACUGUGCCCUCUUGCUUCCUUAUUGAUUUUUCGAUUCUUUAUUCUGUAGUGUAAUGACAAAAUGCUACAUCGCCAACAAUCGUGUACGACUGAUGGAGAGGAUCAUCAGCAUGAUCAAUUCAUCAGUCACGUGAGCCCCACAUACCAUAGAAUCAAUCAAUCUAUUCUCCUUUUCCUAUAAUAUAGAUUACACGUGCGAAAAUUAUGUAGGAGAGGAGAUAUUUUGGUAAUGAUAUUGUUAAUGUCGGUGGUAAUAGUGAAAAUGAGAGAAUAAUUUGAAAAUUUUAAUUAGUAAAUAGUUGUGUCCUUUUAGUAAAAUAGUUAUUUUUAUAAAAUAAUAUAUCUUUUUAUUUGAUGCAAAAAUGAAUUUCUUUACGAAGAGAUAUAUUUUAUCACAAAGAGAUAACCUUUUUGUGAUAAAAUAUGUUUUUUUACUUUUUAUGAAUGGACAUGUUCCUUCGUAAAAAUAUAUAAUUUUAAAAGCUGUGUUCUUUUAUCAUAAUCAUUUAUUUGCUAUAAAUAUGAGAUGUUUAAAGGCUUCAAAGAUAAUAUAAUUAAUCUUUUCUCUUUUCUAAUUUUUCAUACUGAUUUUUAAGAAAUAAGUUAUUGAGAAAAGCCUUCAAAAGUACUGUUUGCAGUCUUUCAACGAUUUUAUUGUAUCCUGAUGAUGAUUUGCUGAUAACCUAGUAGUAUACAUUUGAGUGGGAACAAAUAUUAUCUUAAAAAAAAUGAUCUUACACAUCACAAGAUCGUAAUUUACUUGAUCUUUAUUUAUAUUCUCCAAAAGAUUUUUUUUUUUUUUUUGAGAGAGAAAAGUAGCAUGCUAUCCGAUUCGUUUAUUUCAUUUAGAAAUAAAUUUAGCUAAAAAAUGUGAAUCAACUAAGAUUCGAAAUUAGGUUUCGGGUACCAACCACCAAACCCUUUGCCACUN